GGAGAGGGGCAGGGCAGGGAGAGGGACGGGGGGAGAGGUGGAUAGGAAGGUAGAUAGCGGAGCGGAGGCGGGGGCUGCGCGUGACGUACCGAGGCGGUGUGUGCGGAGGCGCGCGCGGCACGUGGGCACGACGGAGGAGGUGCGUGGCGAGGUAUUGAUAGAGGCGGAGGCGCUGGAGGGGCGGGAACGGAACGGCACGAGAGGUUGCUGGUGGUAUAUAUGACACGAAUGUGGAUGACGAUGUGUGUGUAUCGAUCGAGUGGAGGCAGGACGAGACGGCCGGGUUAGGGCCCUGCUGUGUCGUUCGGUGGCCAGGAAGAAAGCCCCAUAUAUAUAUCGAACCGUAACCUCCACCACCUCGCACUACUUAUUGGUCACGCACGGCUCGACCCUAGACCUGCUCUGCCAAUCGCGCCCCGAGUUGGGCCACAGGCGGCCCAGCUGCGUCGCGUACCGCGGGCCUCUGUCGCCAGACUGCCCCGGCCAACGGUACGGGUACGGCCUGGUCAUGCUGCUCCACCGCCUCGACUGCACCCUCUUCCCGUUGUAGAAGACCGUCCCCGACGAGUUGGCCAGCCACGGGUUCAUGGGCCGGCGCGGCGGCGGCCGCGUCUACGUGCGGUAGCCGCCGCGCCCUCUAGUGGCCCUCUGCGAGCUCCGUCACCACCCGCUCCGCCGGCGAGCAAACAGCAGAGUCAGCUGCAGCGUGGAGCCCGUCGGCAACGGACGUCGGCGGCGCGGAACCGAGCCACACCCGCGCGGCCGGCUGCCCGAGCACGGCACGCGCUCCCAACUGCUCGGCCGCCUCCCCCUGCACGCCUCCUUCGCCCGUGCUCACCAGCCGCUCCUGCCCGCCCACACGCGGUCGGUUCCCUCGCAGCGCGGGCCGGCGCCGCUCUCGAGCGACGAGUGAGACCUCGGGACGCCGUGGCCGCGACUGCUGAACACGCCCAAGUGCUGCUGGUUGUUGAGGUGCAGCGACCUGGUGCCGAGGGGCCUCUGCCUCUUGUGCUCGAAGCCCCCUCCGCGGUCGCUGAGGGCGACGAAGUCGGCAGCCAGCGUCUCUCUACCCGACACACUGCUUCGUCUCUUGCAGCACUAGUUCCCGCUUCGAGGUUACUCCAGCAGGUAAAGAUGGUUCUCCUCGGCCCGACGACGGUAGGUAUUGCUUAGACUCGCAUUUUCUUCCCUGUCCUAGUUGGUCUUCUACGUCUGUAACGUUUUCGAGCAGGGGUUGAGUUCGUUCUGCCUGUUCCGUAGCUACGACCUGCUCCACUAGCUGGUGGACUUCCUCGACGUCCGCUGCCACGUCUACUACUUGGCCUACUCGUCGUACUACUACGGGUACCGGUACGGAGUCGACCGGGUCUACAGGCAGUACCGGUUGUACCGGGUCUACCGGGUCUACCGCGUCUACCCGGACCCUUACUAGUUGUACCGGCCCGGUGAGCGCGUCGGGCGGAUGGGCCCGGAGUGGGUCGGGUACUACGUGUGCAGGUGGGGCAAGCAGUGGUACGUCGGGACCUUGCGGCCGCGGCCGCGGCUGGCCGUCUUCGUCGGGCGGCGGCGGCGGCACGGCCUGCGGAUGAGGCGGAAGGAGCGGACGGUUCGCCGCGUCGUCUUGCGCGUCGUCGUUCGAGUUGGCUUGCCGUACCUCCGCAUGUCGUCCUACUACCGGUACACGGUCUUCGAUUCGGUCGUCGUCUGGUUCGGUCCGUCGAGGUUUCUCACUAGCAUGAUGCAGCAUGUUCGUGGACGUGUCGUAAAGGGAAACCUGUACUUUCAGACAGCUGCGCGGUGCCGUGGGACGUCGUAGCACAUACAAUGCGAGUUAACGUGUACUAAACAGCAUGAUUUUAGUAAGAUCGAACAUGCAUAUAGCAAAACUGUUGUAAAACGAAUCGAACAUGCAUAUUCAGUGGCGGUUGGCCAAUGGACUUCUUCUACACAAACAUGAUGUCAUAGUGGGUUAACGUGUACUAAACCUUUAACCUGGCCUCUCCAAUUGGAGUAGGCCGAAA
rnacentral:rRNA from 1 species